UACGGGGGGGGGCAAGCUUGUUCGGAAUUACUGGGCGUAAAGGGCUCGUAGGCGGCCAACUAAGUCAGACGUGAAAUCCCUCGGCUUCACCGGGGAACUGCGUCUGAUACUGGAUGGCUUGAGGUUGGGAGAGGGAUGCGGAAUUCCAGGUGUAGCGGUGAAAUGCGUAGAUAUCUGGAGGAACACCGGUGGCGAAGGCGGCAUCCUGGACCAAUUCUGACGCUGAGGAGCGAAAGCCAGGGGGGAGCAAACGGG
rnacentral:rRNA from 1 species